UUGGAGGGCAAGUCUGGUGCCGGCAGCCGCGGUAAUUCCAGCUCCAAUAGCGUAUAUUAAAGUUGUUGCAGUUAAAAAGCUCGUAGUUGAAUUUCAGGCCUGGCUGGACGGUCCGCCCUUCGGGUGAGUACUGUCUGUGGUCGGGUCCUACCUUCUGGCGAAGCGUCAUGGCCUUAACCGGCCGUGGCGGGGAACCAGGACUUUUACUGUGAAAAAAUUAGAGUGUUCAAAGCAGGCAAUCGCUUGGAUACAUUAGCAUGGAAUAAUGGAAUAGGACAAUGGUUCUAUUUGUUGGUUUCUAGGACCGUUGUAAUGAUUAAUAGGGAUAGUUGGGGGCAUUAGUAUUCAAUUGUCAGAGGUGAAAUUCUUGGAUUUAUUGAAGACUAACUACUGCGAAAGCAUUUGCCAAGGAUGUUUUCAUUAAUCAAGAACGAAAGUUAGGGGAUAGAAGACGAUCAGAUACCGUCGUAGUCUUAACCAUAAACUAUGCCGACUAGGAAUCGGGCGAUGUUGACAAAAUGACGCGCUCGGCACCUCAUGGGAAACCAAAGUGUUUGGGUUC
rnacentral:rRNA from 1 species